AUCAAACGCUCUAAAUCUAAAAUCUUUUCAGCAUUCCGUUCUCUCUCACGCACCAUCUCUGAACCGCACACGGCAGCGCCGCCGCUUCACCACCAUCAGCUCACCGAGAUCCACUAUCCCUGGUAGUUCCAACGAUUCUAAAUCUGAAUUUUUCAAUCACCCCCAUAUCACCCAGUUUCUCUUUCCAAACAUAUUCAAGAAAUUGUAUAUUAUUUAUUGUUAUUACAAAUUAAACCCAAUUUAUGUACUCUUGAUCUAAGAUUUGCCUCCUUUUUUUUCACUGUUUGGGCCGUUUAUCAUAAUUUCGUGUCUUUUUUGUGUAUAAAUUAUUUUCGACUAUUUUGCUCAAGUGUGUGCUGACGUGGCAAGCAUUUAAUUAUACUUCCCACUUCUUUUAUAGGAUAUUCGCUCCUUGCCCGAUUUGUUUUGGGAUUUCGAUUCAAGGUAAAUAUCAUCUUAUUGUUUGGGUUUACAUCUCAUUUCGAUUCAAGGCAAUGCAUGUCCAUAAUAAGCUCUUAAAGGAGACCACAUUCUUGGGUCAUGUUUAUUGGGUCACAGUUUCUCAAUAGUUCAGCAUUUACAAGUUGCAGAGUGAUAUUGCGCAUGUCAAAACUAUAUUUCUCAUGUGAGAAUGACGAGAGGAGAAGGGCAACUGAACUCUUCCAAGCAUUCAAGGAGAGGGGGAGAUUUGUACUUAUAUUAAAUGAUGUCUGGAAUUAAAUUGACGCAGAGGAGAUUGGUAUUCCUUUAGGAAUGAAUGGAUGCAAGUUGGUCAUAACAAGUCUUUCUAACAAAGUUUGUCAUUGGAUAGAUUGUCAGAAGAUUAUAAAAGUGAACACACUACCCGAACAAUAAGCUUGGGAAUUAUUUUUGAAGAAACUUGGCAGAGUUGAACUUCAUCCACGAGUAGAAGGGAUUUGCAAGAAAUGGGAAGAUGUGGUGGUUUGCCACUUGCAUUUAUUACAUUGGCUGGAAGCAUGAGGAGGGUCACUGACAUUCAUGAAUGGAGAGAUGCAUUGGAAGGACUGGCAGAAUCAUCUAUGCGAUGAGCCGGCAUGGAAUAUGGGGUUCUGCCAAUACUGUUAUAUAGUUAUGAUCGAUUAAGAGAUACAAUGCUAAAAGGUUGUUUCUUGCAUUGCUCUCUGUAAAGUCUGUCAUAUUCCAAAAGAUGAAUUGAUUGAAAAUUUCAUUUCAGAACAGCUGGUGGAGAGAAGUUAUAGAAGCUUAAGAGCCGAGAUUCACCAAGGUCAUGCUAUUACUGAAUCAAUUGGAUAGAGUCUGCUUACUCGAAAGGACUUCAAAUGGUACGGAUGUGAAGGUGCAUGUUUUGAUAAGAGACAUGGCAAUAGGGAUCACUAAAGAUAACCCUAGAUACAUGGUAAAAGAUGGACUUCACUUAAGGGAAAUACCUGGUGUGCAAGAGUGGACAGAAGAUUUGGAUAAGGUUUCCUUGAUGGAUAAUUCCAUAAAGGAAAUUUCACCUGGCACGUCACCCAAGUGUCCUCGACUUUCAACAUUAAUUUUGAGUGGCAAUCGUUUGAAGAGGAUUCCUGAUUGUUUCUUUGGGCACGUGUGGUCUACGCACUCUCAAUUUAAGUCUCACUAAAAUUUAGAACUUGCCAAAUUCUAUUUCAGACUUGGAGGAUCUUCGAACAUUACUGCUGAAAUUUUGUAAUGAAUUGGAAUCGAUGCCAUCCUUGGAAAAACUUAAGGAAUUGAGACAUUUGGACCUCACAGGUACUAGUAUUGAGGAAGUAACCCAAGGUAUGGAUAGCUUAACCAACUUCAAAUUCCUAUAUUUGAGUUGUUCUAAAUUAAAGGUGUUAUCGACGGAGGCUUUGCAUAAACUCUCACAUCUCCAAGGACUCUCAUUGCCAAGUCAUACAUGUAUAAAAAAUAAAAAAAGUUGAGGCAUUCAAACAGUUGGAAGUAUUAGCAGGCAUAUUAAAUAGCGUAUGUGAUCUCAAUCGAUUAGUAAAGUCAGGCGACUCAUUUCCUAUGCUAUUGUUUCAAGCUCUGACGAAAGUUAUGGAUUUGAUGCUAUUCAUACAUUAUCUUGUAAACGAAUAAGUUUUAAAUAGCAUCAGAUUUACAACUUUUGUCAAAGAAACAAUGGCAUAGGAAAUGAGUCGCCUAUUAAUUUGUCGAGACUUCACUAAUCAGUUGAGAUCACAUAUGCUAUUUAAUCUUUCUUCUAAUACUUUCAAUUGCUUGAAUGCCUCAACUUCUUUUAUUGUCAUACAUGUAUGACUUAGCAAUGAGAGUCCCUGGAGAUGUGAGAGUUUAUGCAAAGCCUCCGUCGGUAACACCUUUAAUUUAGGACAUCUCAAAUAUAGGAAUCCAAAGUUGAUUAAGCUAUCCAGACCUUGGGGUACUUCCUCAAUACUAGUACCUGUGAGGUCCAAAUGUCUCAAUUCCUUGAGCUUUUUCAAAGUUCUAUUAAUCGAAUUGUUAUAUUUUGAAUUGUUGUAUUGCAUAUGAAUUACAUUUAUAUCACUAUGUGAUAACUGAUUGAAGAAAAGGAUCAUGAAUUGGAUGAUGGAUUAGUUUGAAAAACUAAUGUGGUCUGUUUUGGUUGUGUGCAGUUGUGGAUGUGAUGAAUGUGUUAACAAUUAGGUAAACAGAUACAUUUGGACUUAUGUAAUAUAUUGAACCAUUAGUAGAU
rnacentral:lncRNA from 1 species